rnacentral:rRNA from 1 species
UACGGAGGGGGCAAGCGUUGUUCGGAAUUAUUGGGCGUAAAGGGCGCGUAGGCGGCCUGGUAAGUCAGACGUGAAAUCCCUCGGCUCAACCGAGGAACUGCGUUUGAAACUGCCGGGCUUGAGUCCCGGAGAGGGUAGUGGAAUUCCCAGUGUAGCGGUGAAAUGCGUAGAUAUUGGGAGGAACACCAGUGGCGAAGGCGACUACCUGGACGGGUACUGACGCUGAGGCGCGAAAGCAUGGGUAGCAAACAGG